rnacentral:misc_RNA from 1 species
CGAAGUUGUUGAAGAUGCUGAUCGCCGUCACUGUGUCGUCCGGCGCAUAGAUCACGUAGUAGGCGAUGAAGCCGUCGACAUCGCUGAUGAUCGGAAUCGCGCCUUCCUUGAUCCUGCGCGCCAGUUCCUCGACCAUGCCGGUUUUAGCUUUUCCCUGACGAAUAGCGGCGUACAUGACCCCCUCCUUCACCGGUCGGCUGCUCAAGGU